UACGUAGGGGGCAAGCGUUGUCCGGAAUCAUUGGGCGUAAAGCGCGUGUAGGCGGCCCAGUAAGUCCGCUGUGAAAGCCCAGGGCUCAACCCUGGGAUGCCGGUGGAUACUGUUGGGCUCGAGUCCGGAAGAGGCGAGUGGAAUUCCCGGUGUAGCGGUGAAAUGCGCAGAUAUCGGGAGGAACACCAAUGGCGAAGGCAGCUCGCUGGGACGUGACUGACGCUGAGACGCGAAAGCGUGGGGAGCAAAC
rnacentral:rRNA from 1 species